UACGGGGGGGGCAAGCGUUGUUCGGAAUUACUGGGCGUAAAGGGCUCGUAGGUGGCCAACUAAGUCAGACGUGAAAUCCCUCGGCUUAACCGGGGAACUGCGUCGGAUACUGGAUGGCUUGAGUUCGGGAGAGGGAUGCGGAAUUCCAGGUGUAGCGGUGGAAUGCGUAGAUAUCUGGAGGAACACCGGUGGCGAAGGCGGCAUCCUGGACCGACACUGACACUGAGGAGCGAAAGCCAGGGGAGCAAACGGG
rnacentral:rRNA from 1 species